GUCCUUAGUUACCAGCACGGUUAUGGUGGGCACUCUAAGGAGGACUGCCGGUGACAAACCGGAGGAAGGUGGGGAGUGACGUCAAGUCAUCAUGGCCCUUACGGCCUGGGCUACACACGUGCUACAAUGGUCGGUACAAAGGGUUGCCAAGCCGCGAGGUGGAGCUAAUCCCAUAAAACCGAUCGUAGUCCGGAUCGCAGUCUGCAACUCGACUGCGUGAAGUCGGAAUCGCUAGUAAUCGUGAAUCAGAAUGUCACGGUGAAUACGUUCCCGGGCCUU
rnacentral:rRNA from 1 species